GACGAACGCUGGCGGCGUGCCUAAUACAUGCAAGUAGAACGCUGAAGGAGGAGCUUGCUUCUCUGGAUGAGUUGCGAACGGGUGAGUAACGCGUAGGUAACCUGCCUGGCAGCGGGGGAUAACUAUUGGAAACGAUAGCUAAUACCGCAUAACAGCAGUUGUUGCAUGACAACCGUUGGAAAGGUGCAAUUGCACCACUACCAGAUGGACAUGCGUUGUAUUAGCUAGUUGGUGGGGUAACGGCACACCAAGGCGACGAUACAGAGCCGGCCUGAGAGGGUGGUCGGCCCCCCUGGGACUGGGACCCGGCCCCAGAUCCUUAGGGGGGCAGCCGUAGGGAAUCUUCGGCCAUGGACGGAAGUCUGACCGAGCAACGCCGCGGGAGGGAAGAAGGUUUUCGGGUCGUAAAGCUCUGUUGUAAGGGAAGAACGAGUGUGAGAGUGGAAAGUUCACACUGUGACGGUAUCUUACCAGAAAGCGACGGCUAACUACGUG
rnacentral:rRNA from 1 species